rnacentral:rRNA from 1 species
AUGAACGCUAGCUACAGGCUUAACACAUGCAAGUCGCGGGGCAGCAUGGGGGUUGCUUGCCAUCCCCGAUGGCGACCGGCGCACGGGUGAGUAACGCGUAUCCAACCUGCCCUUCACCACGGGAUAACCCGGCGAAAGUCGGACUAAUACCGUAUGUUGUCCAUUGACGGCAUCCGAUUUGGACGAAAGGCUUGGCGGUGAGGGAUGGGGAUGCGUCCGAUUAGCCAGACGGCGGGGUAACGGCCCACCGUGGCUACGAUCGGUAGGGGUUCUGAGAGGAAGGUCCCCCACACUGGAACUGAGACACGGUCCAGACUCCUACGGGAGGCAGCAGUGAGGAAUAUUGGUCAAUGGGCGUAAGCCUGAACCAGCCAAGUAGCGUGCAGGAUGACGGCCCUAUGGGUUGUAAACUGCUUUUAUGCGGGGAUAAAGUGGCCCACGGGUGGGCUUUUGCAGGUACCGCAUGAAUAAGGACCGGCUAAUUCCGUG